CCAAAAGGCUAGAGCGUGACAGGUAAGCGAAAUCUAAGGAAAGUAGCGAAGCACAUGAUGACGGCUUCCAGGAAAAGCUUCUGGCAAUGCAUAUGCGGCCCGUACCAAAACCGUCACAGGUGGGCAGGGAGAGAAUCCCGAGGUGAGCGAGAGAACUGUUGCCAAGGAACUCGGCAAAAUGACUCCGUAAGUUAGCGAGAAGGAGUGCUUAAGCAAUUAAGCCGCAGUGAAGAGGCCCAAGCGACUGUUUAACUAAAACACAGCUCUCUGCGAAGUCGCAAGACGAAGUAUAGGGGGUGACACCUGCCCGGUGCUGGAAGGUUAAGAGGAUCUGUUAAGAGCGAUCUGAAGCAGUGAUCCGAAGCCCCAGUGAACGGCGGCCGUAACAAUAACGGUCCUAAGGUAGCGAAAUUCCUUGUCAGGUAAGAUCUGACCCGCACGAAAGGUGUAACGAUUUGGGCGCUGUCUCGGCAGCAGACUCGGUGAAAUUUUAGUACCUGUGAAAAUGCAGGUUACCCGCAACUAGACGGAAAGACCCCAUGGAGCUUUACUGCAGCCUGAUAUUGAAUUCUGGUCAUACAUGUACAGGAUAGGUGGGAGACAAAGAGACGUGCACGCCAGUGUACGAGGAGUCGACGUUGGGAUACCACUCUUGUGUGACCGGGGUUCUAACCUGGUAUCGAGAACAGGUACGGGGAGAGUGUCAGGUGGGCAGUUUGACUGGGGCGGUCGCCUCCCAAAGAGUAACGGAGGCGCCCAAAGGUACGCUCAGAUUGGAUGGAAACCAAUCGUCGAGUGCAAUUGCAGAAGCGUGCUUGGCUGUGAGACAAACAAGUCGAACAGGGACGAAAGUCGGGAAUAGUGAUCCGGCGGUGCCGAAUGGAAGGGCCGUCGCUCAACGGAUAAAAGCUACCCUGGGGAUAACAGGCUGAUCUCGCCCAAGAGUUCACAUCGACGGCGAGGUUUGGCGCCUCGAUGUCGGCUCAUCGCAUCCUGGAGCUGGAUUCGGUUCCAAGGGUUGGGCUGUCCGCCCAUUAAAGCGGUACGCGAGCUGGGUUCAGAACGUCGUGAGACAGUUCGGUCCCUAUCUGUUGUGGGCGAAGGAGAUCUGCGGAGAGCUGUCCUCAGUACGAGAGGACCGGGAUGGACCUACCGCUGGUGCACCGGUUGUUCCGCCAGGGGCAUAGCCGGGUAGCUAAGUAGGGAAAGGAUAAGCGCUGAAAGCAUCUAAGCACGAAGCCUACUCCAAGAUGAGAUCUCCCAUUCGCAAGAAGUAAGACCCCUUAAAGAC
rnacentral:rRNA from 1 species